GGAGAGACAGCCAACUGUUCCCGCUCUUUUUCAGCAGAGCAUUCUUGAAUGGCUCCAUGGUUGUAGUUGCGUAGCAGAAGAAAUAAAAAACUGCUGCAUUGGAGAGACGACCAACUGUUCCCGCUCUUUCAUGUGUUUCAGGGCCAAGACACCCUACAUUAUCCAGCUCCUCUCGGCGGAUCCUGAGGACUUCCCAGGUCAGUUCAGAGGCAUAAUUUCUGCAACGUGUCCUGUGUCUUCCUCAAGGUGAGAACCAUGACCACAGACUUUAAGGUGCUAAUUCUCAUCCCUGCCACAAACCGAUCCUUGAAGAUCAUGGCAGCAGGACCAGCAGGACCAAAUCCUGCAGCCACCAAAUUGGAUCCCCUAAACACCCUAAAUCGGUGACAACGGGAAGGCAUGGCUGAGUCAAACACUCAAUGGAAACGAGUCUGAAUCAGGUCCUCCUCCCCAGAACGCCUGAAUAGACCUCACCAGGAAGGCAGAAAAUAGUCGGAACACACCCUCCAGUCUCCCUUCUUAAAAAGGGGGACCAUCACCUAAGAGGGGUGGGGGGAGAGGAUCCAAGUCCAUUUGUCUUACUCAUCAUCAGGGCUUAUUUGAGCUAUGCUUUGUCUUAUUACAUAUAUAUACAUACAUAUACAUACAUACAUAUACAUACAUAUAUAUACAUACAUAUACAUACAUAUAUAUACAUACAUAUACAUACAUAUACAUACAUAUAUAUACAUAUUACAUAUAUAAAAUGUAUUUCCUAAAAUUAUAAUUUUGAUUAAAAUGUUCACUAGAAAUCUCUGAAACUGCAUUAUUUAAAAACAUAACAAAAUAAGUCAAUAAAGCAAAGGCAAAGGCGUGGCUCAUGGAUCAGAAACUUCCGCAGGAAUGGAUUGGAUAUUUUUCCGAUUUGUGAAUUAUUUUGAUAUUGGAACCACAUACCGAUAUUGAAUAGAUUGCAGUAUUACAGCAUACACUUUAUUACGUUGAUAAUAUUGCUUCUUUAUUCGGCCAUCUUGCAUCCAUUACACCCAAUAGUAAAUCUUGCAAUGUCACUUGUUUAGAAUAAAAAACACAAACUCGUCAUAUUGCCAACGUAUCACCAAAUCACAUUACCAAAGAUUCCCCAUUGGUGAAUCAACUUAUUAAUACAAUGCAUAUGUUCAUAAUGUGUGUUUAUUAUAAAACAUGCCUGAUAGCAUGCCCUCAACUCCCACCCGGAAGUAAUCGCUCCAUCUAUGAUGCCACCAUUUAACUCUAGUUCUUUUAUUGAUUACAGCUGCAAAAUAACCCACCAUAAGGACCAAGAAAGUUUCAAGAACCAGCUCUUUGAUAAGGUAGAAACCAUAGUACCACUGUGAAAAUGUACACUGUAAAAAAAACUGUAGUUUUUACGGUAAAAACUGGCAGCUGGGUUGCCAGAAUUUUACCGUAAAAAAAGCGAUGACACCGCUUUUCCAUUUACAGGAAUAGCGAUACACAGUGUCGCGUUCAGUGUCCCUCGUAUUUUAGAGAACUCUACCCCCCUUCUAUUGUCUCAUGUCCAGAGAAAUGUACCUUACCUUGAAUUCAUCUGGCAGCAUCCUGCGUAGUUUCUUCUCACCCAGAACACGGAAGCACUGCUCCAGCAUCUCCUUUUUGUCGCUCACAUAAGCGGUGAUGGGCUGGAAUGGCACCCCGAGAUCGAGCCCACCUUCCUCAAUGUCACUGCCAACCCUGUCCAGGUCUGGGUCAGCGAGAUCAUCUUUAGAGUCCUGAAUGAACAUAGGUGUACUAACUUCAAUUAUUAAGGUCAAAGUAAAGCAGCAUUCUAAGAGUUUAACCCAUAUAAAAAAACAAAUAAUUACUACUCUUACGAAAGCUACAGAUGGUCCACAAACUCAUCACCAUUUUAGCUUCUAUGCAAGCUUUGCAAAUCUCACCUCUUUGUUACCGUCGGCGCUUCUACGUUUACUCCCACGAUGCCGCUCAUCGGUCGGGGCGUGUUUCCGUUUCUUUUCGCCACUACUUGACUUCUUUUUAAGCAUUUUAAGCGACAAAAAACCUCCAAAUAUAUUACUCACGCUUGGUUAAUGAUAGCUGUGGCUGUUUGUGAUGAGCGGCGCAUGGUGAUGACGUCAUCAGCCAGCGUCUGUUUCAGCUUUUUUUCUUCUUCUACGGAAAGAACAACAACUGUGAUAUGUUCCCAUCUAACGGCAAAAUGGUGGUACUUUGGGUGAAUUACAAAAGGAUUUGUUAUUUUUUAACCAGUACUUUUCUUUUUAUGAUAGAAUAGAAUCUAUACAUGUUUAACAUAUUAUUUGUAACGAAAAAAAUGAUUUUAAAAAAUUAAAAUUUUUUAAUGUUAAUAAUAGUACUAAUAAUGGUGUAGGGCUAACUGGAUUUCAUGAUGGUUCCUCACUUUCUAAAACACUACUUGUCACCAACCGGGUAUCAUAUACUGUGUGUCCUUUAACCAGCACACGAAUGCAUCUUUCAAGGUGGUGUCGGCACACACAAGCUGUAAAUCACUCUAAUUGGCUUCCCUGCCUUUGGCUGAAAUAAGGCCCAGAAGCCUAGGCGAUAUAGUCCUGCCCAGGCGCCAUGGCGACAGCUGUCUCCACAUAAUGCAGGUUGUUAUCCUGAUGCCGUCCGCCAUAUUAUGCCCCGGAUAGGGUGGGCGGUUGCGCAUCGAUCACAAUCACUGUGGUGUGUUUUUCUUUUGCAACAUCUGCUCCCGUGUGCAUCCUGUUAAGAGGGUAAAGAUUGCACUGGUCCCGUAUUAGAGUGGAAUGCAAACCACAAGCUGUGUUUAAGUAUGUUUUUGUACGGUGAACAAAUGGUUAGCAUGUAGGCCACACAGUCAGGAGAACAGGAAGACGUGGGUUUGAUUCUCUGCUAGGGAAUCUGCGUGGAGUUUGCACGUUUUCCUUCCCACGUUCCAAAAUUGUAGUUAAUUGGUAUGAAUGUGAGUGUGAAUGGUUGUUUGACUAGAUGUGCCCUGUGAUUGGCUAGCGACCACUCCAGGGUGUUAGCUUGGAUAGGCUCCUGCGACCCUAAACAGGAUAAGCGGCAUAGAAAAUAGAUUAAUGGAUGUAAAGGAAAAUGCCAUAUUUUGCUACAAUAGUAAUAUUGGUGGCUCAACGACAAUAUUUUGUACCACCAAAAUACUACAAUAUUCUCAAAACAUUAUAUUUUGCCCCUAAAAUGCCUUGUUUGUAAAUGCUAAUUUAUGCUAUACUGUAUUUGAUUGACAGUGAAAAUAAUUUGUUACACAAUUUGCUCAAAACCACAGUAUUUUACCACCAAAGUUGUAUACUUUUCAGCCAAAAACUAUAGUUUGCAAAUGUCAAAUUCAGCUAUAUUUUGCCACAAUUACUAGUAGCUUAAAAACACUAUUUUGAGGUACCAAAAAUUGUAUUAGUCCCAACAAUAUAUUUAUUUACCUCCAAAAUAUAGACACAAUAUAGA